rnacentral:rRNA from 1 species
UACGUAGGGUGCGAGCGUUGUCCGGAAUUAUUGGGCGUAAAGAGCUUGUAGGCGGUUUGUCGCGUCUGCUGUGAAAAUCCGGGGCUCAACCCCGGACUUGCAGUGGGUACGGGCAGACUCGAGUGUGGUAGGGGAGACUGGAAUUCCUGGUGUAGCGGUGAAAUGCGCAGAUAUCAGGAGGAACACCGAUGGCGAAGGCAGGUCUCUGGGCCACUACUGACGCUGAGAAGCGAAAGCAUGGGGAGCGAACAGG